rnacentral:tRNA from 1 species
GGGCGCAUAGCUCAGUUGGUUAGAGCACCUCCCUUACAAGGAGGGGGUCAGGGGUUCGAGUCCCUUUGCGCCCA